AGUGGGGAAUAUUGCACAAUGGACGAAAGUCUGAUGCAGCAACGCCGCGUGGAGGAUGACACAUUUCGGUGCGUAAACUCCUUUUAUAGGUCAAGAUAAUGACGGUAGCCUAUGAAUAAGCGCCGGCUAACUCCGUGCCAGCAGCCGCGGUAAUACGGAGGGCGCAAGCGUUACUCGGAAUCACUGGGCGUAAAGAGCGUGUAGGCGGAUUAAUAAGUCAGAAGUGAAAUCCAGUAGCUUAACUAUUGAACUGCUUUUGAAACUGUUGAUCUAGAGUGUGGGAGAGGUAGAUGGAAUUUCUGGUGUAGGGGUAAAAUCCGUAGAUAUCAGAAGGAAUACCGAUUGCGAAGGCGAUCUACUGGAACAUAACUGACGCUGAGACGCGAAAGCGUGGGGAGCAAACAGGAUUAGAUACCCUGGUAGUCCACGCCCUAAACGAUGUACACUAGUUGUUGCGAUACUAGAUAUUGCAGUAAUGCACCUAACGGAUUAAGUGUACCGCCUGGGGAGUACGGUCGCAAGAUUA
rnacentral:rRNA from 1 species